rnacentral:rRNA from 1 species
UCGGGAAUUUUGGGCAAUGGGGGAAACCCUGACCCAGCAACGCCGCGUGAAGGAUGAAGUAUUUCGGUAUGUAAACUUCGAAAGAAUAGGAAGAAUAAAUGACGGUACUAUUUAUAAGGUCCGGCUAACUACGUGCCAGCAGCCGCGGUAAUACGUAGGGACCAAGCGUUGUUCGGAUUUACUGGGCGUAAAGGGCGCGUAGGCGGCAUGACAAGUCACUUGUGAAAUCUCUGGGCUUAACCCAGAACGGCCAAGUGAUACUGUCGCGCUAGAGUGCAGAAGGGGCAAUCGGAAUUCUUGGUGUAGCGGUGAAAUGCGUAGAUAUCAAGAGGAACACCUGAGGUGAAGACGGGUUGCUGGGCUGACACUGAC